GUCUACCCCCAUACCACCCUGUUGCACCCAAUCCCGUCUGAUCUCAGAAGCUAAGUAGGGUUGGGCCUGGUUAGUCCUUCGAAGGAAGAAAUAACAAAUAACACUGGUGGCUUCCACA
rnacentral:rRNA from 1 species